AUGGAUACACCUGUAACCCUCAAAGAAUUGAUCCCAAUUUACCGAUGGGGAAGUGACAUCAGAGAGAGGCCAAGCACUUGCCCAGGGUCAUUUGAUCACAGGAAACAGCCUUUCGGAAGCCUUGUUCCAGAAUUUGUGCUUCUAGUCCCAGAGGAUGGGGCUCCAGGCGCAAUACACACUGCUCUUCUCCAGACCUAUCCUGAGAGUUAUCCUCAGUAGGAGGUUGGUAUGAAUUAUCUGGGCCACCAUCACUUCUUUUCUAUAUCUCAAGAAGAAAUGAAGCAGGCCUUAAAAGUAAAAAGAAGUGGAGUUCCCGUUGUGGCGCAGCGGAAAUGAAUCCAACUAGGAACCAUGAGGUGGCAGGUUUGAUCCCUGGCCUUGCUCAGUGGGUUAAGGAUCUGGCGUUGCCGUGAACCGUGGUGUAGGUCGCAGACAUGCCUCAGGUCUGGUGUUGCUGUGGCUGUGGUGUAGGCUGGCAACUACAGCUCUGAUUCAACCCCUAGCCUGGGAACCUCCAUGUGCCGAGAGUGCAGGCCUAAAAAGACAAAUAGACCAAAAAAAAAAGAAAAAGUAAAGAGGUGUGGAAGAGUCCAAGAGUCCAAGGAUUUAAUGCUUCUUUAUUUUAUUUUAUUUUACAAUAUUUCUCUAUUUUUUAAACUUCUGUUAUUUAAGUGACUUAGAAAGAUAUCCUGAAGAUCUAAACAGACAGUUCUCCAAAGAAGACAUACCGAUGGCCAAAAAACACAUGAAAAGAUGUUCAACAUCACCCAUUAUUAGAGAAAUGCAAAUCAAAAGCACUAUGAGGAACCACCUUACACCAGCCAGAAUGGCCAUCAUCAAAAAGAGGGUGUGGAGAAAAUGGAACCCUAGUACACUGUUGGUGGGAAUGUAAAUUGGUGCAACCACUGUGGAAAACAGUAUGGAGAUUCCUCAGAAAACUAAAAAUAGAUCUACCUUUUGAUCCAGCAAGCCCACUCCUGGGCAUCUAUCCAGAGAAAACCAUGACUCGCAAAGACAUGUGUACUCCAAUGUUCACCGCAGCACUAUAUGCAAUAGCCAAGACAUGGAAACAACCUAAAUGUCCAUCAACAGAGGAGUGGCUCAAGAAGAUGUGGUACACAUACACAAUGGAAUAUUACUGAGCCAUUAAAAGGAACAAAAUACCUGCAUUUUUAGCAACAUGGAUGGACGGCAUUAGAGUAAUGGGGCAGGAGUGCUG
rnacentral:lncRNA from 1 species